GAUGAACGUUGGCGGUGUGCCUAAUACAUGCAAGUCGAACGGUGAUCUUAUGCGAGCUUGCUUCCAUUUGAUUAUAGUGGCGAACGGGUGAGUAACGCGUUGGUGAUCUGCCUCGAAGUGUGGAAUAACGUUCCGAAAGGGACGCUAAUACCGCAUGUGCUCAAGGUUUUUAGAAAGCUUUGUGUAAAGGAUUUAUUCGCUUCGAGAGGAGCCUGCGUCCCAUCAGCUAGUUGGUAAGGUAACGGCUUACCAAGGCUAUGACGGGUAGGGGACCUGAGAGGGUGGCCCCCCACAAUGGAACUGAAACACGGUCCAUACACCUACGGGUGGCAGCAGUAGGGAAUAUUAGAAAUGGGCGAAAGCCUGAUCUAGCGACACCGCGUGUGCGAUGAAGGCCUUCGGGUUGUAAAGCACUUUUUGGAAGGAAUAGGAAGGAAGGUACUUCCAGAAUAAGUCUCGGCUAACUACGUGCCAGCCGCCGCAGUAAUAC
rnacentral:rRNA from 1 species